GGAGUGUUUGGGCAUCCUGUACGAGGCAAACCCCAUACAAGCUGCAUCCCCAGAUAACCGCCAGCAUCACCGCCAGGAGGUGCGUGUAAAUGGACAGGUAGCACAAGGCCUAAGGGACACUGGCGCUACCAUCACUUUGGUGCAGAAACAUCUCGUGAAACCGGAGCAUGUAUCUACCCGUACUGUUGCUGUCCGUGUCGCAGGGGGGGCUGUUUUUCGCUUACCCACUGCCCGGGUACACUUGGAUUGGGGAGUCGGGUCGGGAAAGACCACAGUCGGAAUCAUGGACAAUUUACCUGCUGAAGUCGUGUUGGGCAACGACAUUGGCCCUCUGGCUUCAGGUAAUCUACCCACGACUGCUGCUGCUUGUCCCGUGACCACCCGCUCACAGACCCGUAUCGAGGACGAUCCUCCAGCAGAACGGGAGACCCAGGUAAGCCACAAACAGACACUCAGCCCUAACACGGUAGAAAGACCCAUAGCUUGGGACACCCCAGAGGAGUUUGGGAAGGAAACUAGACAGGACCCCAC